AUUGAACGCUGGCGGAAUGCUUUACACAUGCAAGUCGAGCGGCAGCGCGGGGGCAACCCUGGCGGCGAGCGGCGAACGGGUGAGUAAUGUAUCGGAACGUACCCAGUCGUGGGGGAUAACUAUCCGAAAGGAUAGCUAAUACCGCAUACGACCUGAGGGUGAAAGCGGGGGACCGUAAGGCCUCGCGCGAUUGGAGCGGCCGAUAUCGGAUUAGCUAGUUGGUGAGGUAAAGGCUCACCAAGGCGACGAUCCGUAGCUGGUCUGAGAGGACGACCAGCCACACUGGAACUGAGACACGGUCCAGACUCCUACGGGAGGCAGCAGUGGGGAAUUUUGGACAAUGGGGGCAACCCUGAUCCAGCCAUUCCGCGUGAGUGAAGAAGGCCUGGUUGUAAGACUCUUUCAGCAGGAACGAAACGGAC
rnacentral:rRNA from 1 species